rnacentral:rRNA from 1 species
CUACGGGGGGCUGCAGUGAGGAAUAUUGCACAAUGGGGGGAACCCUGAUGCAGCAACGCCGCGUGGAGGAUGACGCAUUUCGGUGUGUAAACUCCUUUUAUAUGUCAAGAAAAUGACGGUAGCAUAUGAAUAAGCGCCGGCUAACUCCGUGCCAGCAGCCGCGGUAAUACGGAGGGCGCAAGCGUUACUCGGAAUCACUGGGCGUAAAGGACGCGUAGGCGGGUUGAAAAGUCAGGUGUGAAAGCCUACAGCUUAACUGUAGAACUGCACUUGAAACUCUCAAUCUAGAGUAUGGGAGGGGCAGAUGGAAUUAGUGGUGUAGGGAUAAAAUCCGUAGAUAUCACUAGGAAUACCUAAAGCGAAGGCGAUCUGCUGGAACAUUACUGACGCUAAGGCGUGAAAGCGUGGGGAGCAAACAGGAUUAGAUACCCUGGUAGUC